rnacentral:rRNA from 1 species
UACGUAGGUGGCAAGCGUUGUCCGGAAUUAUUGGGCGUAAAGCGCGCGCAGGCGGUCCUUUAAGUCUGAUGUGAAAGCCCACGGCUCAACCGUGGAGGGUCAUUGGAAACUGGGGGACUUGAGUACAGAAGAGAAGAGUGGAAUUCCAGGUGUAGCGGUGAAAUGCGUAGAGAUGUGGAGGAACACCAGUGGCGAAGGCGACUCUUUGGUCUGUAACUGACGCUGAGGCGCGAAAGCGUGGGGAGCAAACAGG